GGUGCUCUGUGAAAGAGAAAGGACAACCAGGGAUGGAAACUCUGCCUAUAGCUCUCCUUUUUCUGAAUUAUCCUUGGAUACCUUGGACCUGAAUCUCUCUAGGAGCUACAGACUGGAGAAAAAGCAGUAAUUCAGAGCAGAAUUCUCAUUCUUAUCUGGAAAAGACAAUUACCUAAGUCUGCUUUCCCACAGGUAUAUAAUAACAGUAACAGCAAGAAUGAUAGAAAUAGUAAUGCAACAAGAAUGUAACUGCCGUUUACUAAGCAUAGCCACAUGGGAAGCACUGUGCUAAACGCAUGUUAGAUGUCCGCUAAUAUUUUCUAUUCUAAAGACUCCCUAGUCUCUGUCCUCAGGCUUUCCUUUACUCUCUAGGAGAGUUCACUUUACUCUCUAGGAGAAAAUAGUAUUGGAGUAGCCUUUCUGGCCCCCUUCUCUACCUUGUACUCACUCCCCUGUAUCAGAGGAUGAGUAAUUGGUUCAUUGGGGAGAUGGUAAGAAUCUGACAGUCAUCAUUUACCUUUCUCUACUCAUGGGUUUGAGACGUUAAAGAUUGCUGUUCAAAUGUGGUUUGCCCUUUUCCCUCCUCCCCCAGCUAGUUACCCUGCAGAAUGCAUAUCUUCUGUUGCCUUCAACCAUGUCUAUAUGGAAGACACCUGGAUCAGGUGCAGGCCUACCUCCUACAAGCAAGUCUGGAGGCCCAUCUCCUGAUGUCAGUAAUAUUGUGGCUCAGUGAGUGAGGCAGCUAUUCUUCUUGUAGCUGUUUGAGUAAUUGUUUUGUAAUUUUAACUUCCCUGGAUGAGGGCCAAGGUCCAGACUUGGGAGGAAGCAUUUCUCCUGUCUACAUUUACCAGAAAUAAUGCUGAUAUUUUUAUCCUCUCCUUCUUGCAUCUAUGUAUCAAUUGGUUGAAAUCUGUAGAGGAAGAGAUGUACUCGAUACUUUGGCCAAAAAAUCUUCCUAACAAAUAUUUAAGGUGACAAAGUGGCAAAACGACCAGGAUGUGGCUUUAGCUGCUGGCAUGUGUGCAGUUACUCCCUUCACCCUUCCACAGUGCUGUAUUCUCAGGGUAAAUGACAAGGGACAUGACUUGGGUGAGAUACAAGAAUGUCACCAAAUUCAUUGUUUCUUGUUAGAAUAAAAUUGGAGGAUGACACAGGGCAAAUUACCAAUAUGAGCCUAUAUAUAGUAUAUUCUAUCUUAAAUGCAUCUUCAGGGUGAGACAAGGGGUAAUGAAAGAAAACAGUAGCUCCAUACUAUUCUCAGAAUGUAGGCUCAGAGAAUAGGGGCAGGAUUGGAGAGUCCAAACCAAUUUUGCUUCUUCUUCCCAACUGACUGGGAAAAAGGAUCCAGAAACAAGAGACUUCUUUUCUGAACUGUCCAAGGCUGAAUUGAAGUUCUUUCUGUGAUGGUUUUACACCUGCAGUGUGUGACCCUAUAGAGUUUUACCAUAUCUAAGCAGGUCACACUUGUCAGAUUCAGUCAUUCCUUCUUUU